GAUGAACGCUGGCGGCGUGCCUAACACAUGCAAGUCGAGCGAUUCUCUUCGGAGAAGAGCGGCGGACGGGUGAGUAACGCGUGGGUAACCUGCCCUGUACACACGGAUAACAUACCGCACGGUAUGCUAAUACGAGAUAAUAUGCUUUUAUCGCAUGGUAGAAGUAUCAAAGCUUUUGCGGUACAGGAUGGACCAGCGUCUGAUUAGCUAGUUGGUAAGGUAACGGCUUACCAAGGCGACGAUCAGUAGCCGACCUGAGAGGGUGAUCGGCCACAUUGGAACUGAGACACGGGCCAAACUCCUACGGGAGGCAGCAGUGGGGAAUACUGCACAAUGGGCGAAAGCCUGAUGCAGCAACGCCGCGUGAGCGAUGAAGGCCUUCGGGUCGUAAAGCUCUGUCCUCAGGGAAGAUAAUGACGGUACUUGAGGAGGAAGCCCCGGCUAACUACGUGCCAGCCGCCGCCGUAA
rnacentral:rRNA from 1 species